UACGUAGGGGGCUAGCGUUGUCCGGAUUUAUUGGGCGUAAAGAGCGUGUAGGCGGCCAGGUAGGUCUGGUGUGAAAACUCGAGGCUUAACCUCGAGAUGUCAUCGGAAACCAUCUGGCUAGAGUCCGGAAGAGGAGAGUGGAAUUCCUGGUGUAGCGGUGAAAUGCGUAGAUAUCGGGAGGAACACCUGAGGCGAAGGCGGGCUACUGGGCUGAUACUGACGCUGAGGCGCGAAAGCUAGGGGAGCAAACGGG
rnacentral:rRNA from 1 species